rnacentral:rRNA from 1 species
CCUACGUGAGGCAGCAGUGAGGAAUAUUGGUCAAUGGACGAGAGUCUGAACCAGCCAAGUAGCGUGAAGGAUGACUGCCCUAUGGGUUGUAAACUUCUUUUAUAUGGGAAUAAAAUGUUCCACGUGUGGGAUUUUGUAUGUACCAUAUGAAUAAGGAUCGGCUAACUCCGUGCCAGCAGCCGCGGUACUACGGAGGAUCCGAGCGUUAUCCGGCUUUAUUGGGUUUAAAGGGAGCGUAGGUGGAUUGUUAAGUCAGUUGUGAAAGUUUGCGGCUCAACCGGAAAAUUGCAGUUGAAACUGGCAGUCUUGAGUACAGUAGAGGUGAGCGGAAUUCGUGGUGUAGCGGUGAAAUGCUUAGAUAUCACGAAGAACUCCGAUUGCGAAGGCAGUUCACUGGACUGCAACUGAUACUGAGGCUCGAAAGUGUGGGUAUCAAACAGGAUUAGAUACCCGGGUAGUC